rnacentral:lncRNA from 1 species
AACUCUUCAUCCUGUACUCUACACACUAGGUUCGGAAUCCAAUAACUUUGAUCCAGACUCCGUCCCUACAUCAUCUGUAAAAAAGAAACACUAGCAUAAUCUAUUUUCCAAUGAUCAAGAUAAUCCUACAAUCAUGGACAAGACAUCGCACACAAUACAACCAUACUCAAUAUCUAUACUACCAUCAAUUCUACAUAUUCCAUUCAGUCAAAACAAAACGAAACUCUUCAUCCUGUACUCUACACACUAGGUUCGGAAUUCAACAACUUCGAUCCAGACUCCGUCCCUACAUCAUCUGUAAAAAAGAAAGAGUGAGUUCAUUUAACUCAGUACGGUAAAACUCAAAAUACAUGCGUGAGAUGCAACAAUAUAAAACCUUAUGCCUCUACCAAUAGUUCACUACUGAACUCCAAUUUUCCCUCCUACACCUACAACUCUACCUACCCUAGGUGUCCGUUCCUUGACGGCACUCCAAGCGUGCCAGUGGUACCAUUCACCGCUAAGAUUGGCAACCAUUAACACCUAUCGACCCCUAGUGGGCCACGCACGCACACGAGUUUCAAUCAUUUUCGUCACCAACAGCGGCGACCAUCAUUCACCUAUCGACCCCCUAUCAGGCCACACACACACAUUAUAUCCUUCUCUCCCGUCACCACCAUCGGCGACCGUUAACCAUCUCACGACCUAUACCAGGCCACUCACACACACCCGAUUUUCAUUCACUUGCGUCACCAACAUCGGCGUCCGUUAGCCAUCUCUCGACCUAUACCAGGCCACUCACACACACUCUGAUCCUUCCCUCUCGUCACCGAUACCGGCGACUACUAACCCUCUCUCGACCUAUACCAGGCCACGCACGCACACCAUUUUCAUUCAUUUGAUUUUCGUC